UGGGGAAUUUUGCACAAUGGGGGAAACCCUGAUGCAGCGACGCCGCGUGAUUUAGAAGGCCUUCGGGUUGUAAAAAUCUUUUCUAUGGGAAGAAAAUGACAGUACCAUAGGAAUAAGGACCGGCUAAUUACGUGCCAGCAGCCGCGGUAAUACGUAAGGACCGAGCGUUGUCCGGAAUCAUUGGGCGUAAAGGGUACGUAGGCGGGUAAGCAAGUUAGAAGUGAAAUCCUAUAGCUCAACUAUAGUAAGCUUUUAAAACUGCUCAUCUUGAGGUAUGGAAGGGAAAGUGGAAUUCCUAGUGUAGCGGUGAAAUGCGCAGAUAUUAGGAGGAAUACCGGUGGCGAAGGCGACUUUCUGGCCAUAACCUGACGCUGAGGUACGAAAGCGUGGGUAGCAAACAGG
rnacentral:rRNA from 1 species